UUCAAGUCAUGUUUUCAUGAUACCGCAAGAUUACGAAAAUAACCGCAGAGCAAUCCGCGGGAGCCGGGAACUCGAAGGAACUUGGGCAACUUGCCGCGCACUGCGCAAUAAUCCUUUUCAAUGGAAAAUUCCACUCGUGCGGCGGUCGAAGGCUAGUCCAUUUUCUCUAUCGACGCAACGUGUAGCGCUUGGACGCUCGACCAUUUUGUCGCAGACGCCCUUCCGACGAUGGACUUUGUCGACCGUUUCUUCAUGGCCAAAACGGAGCAGAAUUUUCGCCCGGAGUAUCCGAAUUACUUCGAUCGCCGCUUGAUGGAUGCUGUUGGAUGAAAAACAACGGAGAAACUUGGAGAAGAGCACAUCAGGAUUAGACGACGACGAGGAGAAGAGGAACCACACCGCGCACUGUGUAUGUACGCGAAAGACGAACUAAAGAUACUGUUUGAGCGAAUCGCGAAAGAAGAAAGAUAGCCUUCUCUAGAAUCCAGAGAAAUCUAUGCGAACGCGGAGAGCUAUAGGAUGUUUAUUUAUUCAUCGCGACGCUAUGAAUCGACCAGCCAGAGUGCUUCCGGAUGCUAUGCCUGCUACUGUGCAGCUUGGAGAGAAGUGAUCUUUUUUCCUACAAAUUAUUCAGAGGAGAUUUACACUGAUCACUAAACAAUAUAGAGAGAGAGAGAGAGAGAGAGAGAGUGUGUGUGUAGUCUUGUCUCUAUCUCUUGUGGAUGUUAUAAAAAUCAAUUGUCAUUGAGUGUAAAUCAAGAUUUCUGCGUGAUAUUCAUUAUGGAACAAGGUAUGCGUGAUGAAAAUGGAUUACCUUACCUUGUUGGCUGGCCAGAGGCAUCGAAACAAUUCUCCAAGACAUUUCGAGCAUCACUUUCCAGCUUCAAGUGCAACAUAGAUAAGUUACAAGAAACAAAAUAAAUAACAUGAAAUUGAAAAGAAGAUAUUUUCAGACUGAGCACGUUGAACUUUCAAACAACAUUCUUCUACUGCUGAGCACUGAUAAGAAUGACGCAACAUUUGCAAGGAUUUCACUGAGUAAAAGUUUCAGGACUUACUCUUCUGGAGCCAGGGCAAUUGAUGGUGACCAAAAACAGCAUCAGUAAUUAUGAAAAAACAUUGGCAAUCUGCUUUUUUUCAUCUUCAAAUCCAAAUAUUAUUAUUACUGAGUUAGAAUUAUUCCGCAGAUUGGGUCAGGGUAUUGCUUGAAAUGCUUUUACAACCAAUUUAUUAGUAUCUAUACCAUUGAGAAUGUCUUGGCACAGGUGUCAUUUGAUGGCCAUACAAAUGCUCUUUACUAAUAAAAUGUUUGAGACACCCUUUUUCCCAACACAUUUUUCAGGUCAACAAGGAAACCAUUUGGAAUUGUUCAAUACUAGAGGCUUGCCAAAAUCAAGAAACAAAAAAUGAUGCUUUCAGGUUUCCUUCAAUAUUGGAAUUGGUCUACAUCGUUGGGUUGAUAUUAAUCUUUCCUCUAAAGCUUUUCAUUUAUUAUUUUCAAUGAAUAGCUUUGCUUGAUUAAAAUCUAUUCUCAAAGAUAAUCUUUAACUAAAAAAAGUAAAAACAAAAAAAACAAAAUUAAAAGAGAAGGAAAAGGUCAAGGAAAAACUCACUCCUCUCAACAGGAGUAAAUUGAUAGUCUUGCAAAAAUAAUUAAUUUUUUUUUUUAUUUGAGUCUAAAAUUCAAAUAAUUUGAAACAUAUUCACCAAUAAUCUUUAACUUCCAAAACGGAAGAAAAAAAUUCUUAAAACAGCUGUUUCUUCGAAUAUUAUAAACUAAAAACCGGCAACGGCAAUACUUUUAGUCAUCUCGCAAUUAAAUUCAAAACUUAAAAAAGUAGAAACACCGAUAAACGUUUGCAAUUGAAUGAGCAUCGGUGCACAAGAAAUAAUCUAUAUGAGAUGGUCAAUAUGACAAAAGAAUUUAACUAUGCCACUUGCAAAAAAAAAUCGUAAACGUGAUUAAUUACACUAUAAAUCGUCAACGAUACUCUCAUCCUUUCCUUUUGUACAAGAAAAAUAAUGCUCUUAUUUUCCUGAUUCGCUUAUUAUGCAAUAACUAUCCCAGUCAGCACGUUCAUCAAUUAAUCUUAUAAAUAACUAUUUACAAAAUUCGUAGUUCGACGCUUUAAAAUCGUAUGUACAAGCAUUUAAAAAACAAUGAUCUCGUGCUCUCGUACAGCUCACGGAAAGAAAAUAAAAAACAAGAAUACCUUCGUGAGUUUCGCUCGCAGAAUUGUACAAAAAAC